rnacentral:snoRNA from 1 species
GCAUGGCUUUGGAUUUAAGGAAAGGCCUGUAUUCAUGACCUUUUCUUGACGUACUCCAUGCUAGAUCAAAUGAACUACCCUGAACCAUUGUCAAGCUUGACUGUUUUGUGGGCUUGGUUCACUGAUGAGGGUAGAACAUAU